CGAGCGGCGGACGGGUGAGUAAUGCUUAGGAAUCUGCCUAGUAGUGGGGGAUAGCCCGGGGAAACUCGGAUUAAUACCGCAUACGCCCUACGGGGGAAAGCAGGGGAUCUUCGGACCUUGCGCUAUUAGAUGAGCCUAAGUCGGAUUAGCUUGUUGGUGGGGUAAUGGCCUACCAAGGCAACGAUCCGUAGCUGGUCUGAGAGGAUGAUCAGCCACAUCGGGACUGAGACACGGCCCGAACUCCUACGGGAGGCAGCAGUGGGGAAUAUUGGACAAUGGGCGCAAGCCUGAUCCAGCCAUGCCGCGUGUGUGAAGAAGGCUUUCGGGUUGUAAAGCACUUUCAGCGAGGAGGAAGGCCUUAAGAUUAAUACUCUUGAGGAUUGACGUCACUCGCAGAAGAAGCACCGGCUAACUCCGUGCCAGCAGCCGCGGUAAUACGGAGGGUGCAAGCGUUGUCCGGAAUUAUUGGGCGUAAAGCGCGCGC
rnacentral:rRNA from 1 species